UACGUAGGGGGCUAGCGUUGUCCGGAAUCAUUGGGCGUAAAGCGCGUGUAGGCGGCCCGGUAAGUCCGCUGUGAAAGUCGGGGGCUCAACCCUCGAAAGCCGGUGGAUACUGUCGGGCUCGAGUACGGAAGAGGCGAGUGGAAUUCCUGGUGUAGAGGUGAAAUUCGUAGAUAUUGGGAAGAACACCAGUGGCGAAGGCGGCUCACUGGCCCGGUACUGACGCUGAGGCGCGAAAGCGUGGGGAGCAAACAGG
rnacentral:rRNA from 1 species